GAAGCUGGCUCGUAACCCGAAUUUUAACUUGCAACUCGAAGCAAAAAAUCGGCCGAGAGAUGGCUCGUAUCUCGAAAAACUCGUUAGUCAGGACACUCGUAAGUCAAGGCCCCACUGUAUUUGUGACUAUCCCUAAAAUGAGCAGUGUUUUAAGAGUCUAAAGCAAAGUCUUUAUCUUUUGGGAUUUCACACUAGCCUGUGAGCUCCUGGAGCCAGAGCCUGUGCCUUGUGCGUCUCUGUAUUCCAAGGGCCUAGCACAGAGCAGGACAUGGAACAGAGUCCGUAGAUACCUCUUGAAUGAAUUAAUAUGUGAACAGACAAGGACUCUUUCCUAAAAGACUCUUUCCUACUGGUGACCAGAAAAGUCUACAUCCUUUAUAUAUUUUUUAAAUUAAGCUCAGGGACUAAAUCUCACUCCUAUUUGUGCCUUUCUAUCAUAGUGAGAAAGACACCCUGAAGGCCUGUGCUGCCCUGCCAGGAGGGACAAGCUCAGUCACUUUCCCCAAGCUGGAUCCAGGGUGCUGAGACCUCUGCAACCUGAGGCUGAAGGCACAUCAACCCAGGGUGCUGCCCCCAGACCUUCUCCCAACAGGUUUGCCUCAGCUGCCCGGGCAGACUUCUGAGUGGUGGCCCUUCCUUAUGCCUAAUGCUUGGAAGGUGAAGACAUGAAUUUAACUUUGGAUCAUUGGAGAUCAGCAGCUUGUGACUGAGGAGUUGCCUGGAAAUUCUGCUGAUGCUACAAAAGCAAGAAUAGCUUGCUAACUUUAUGAGCCAUCAGAGUCUUCGGGAAUAGUGGGAAAUUCAAUUUCUCCUGGGGAAGGAUAAUCUGGCUGAACUGACCUGUUUUGAAUGAGUCCUUGGAGGUGAUAGAGAUUCUCAAUCCAAACCAUGUUAUGAAUAUGAUACAAGAGUUUAUUCUCUACAUUUCCUGAAAAGGGCCAAAUAGUAAAUAUUUUAGGCUUUACCAGACACAUAUGGUCUCUAUGCUCCUCCUCCUCUCCUCUUUUCUUAUUUUCCCCUAUUAGAAACCAUUCUUAGCUCAAGCACCAUAAAGAAACUGGCCUUGGGCUGGAUCUGGCCCACAGGCCUGAGGUUGCUGGUCUAUGCUCUAGCAUUUAGUGAAGAAACCCAUCUUGUAUCAUACAAGGCAUGAUGACACUUAAUCUGGUUUCCCAGAUUAAGAGGUGAGUUAAGAGGGAGCAAAAUGCAAAACAGGCAGGUGGAGAUGCCUUGUAGACCAGAGCAUUUUGGGGUCAGAAAUGGGGCCUUAUCCAUUUUUAUGUCCCUGGUGAUUAGCACAUGCUUGGCACAUAUGCGUCCCCCAUUAAUGCUUGUGAAUGAAUGGCUGAAUGAAUGAACAAAAGAAGCAGAACAUUAUGGUAUUGCCACACAAGUAUAUAGAGAAACCCUUUGGGGAUAUUAUUUAUUUUCAGAUCCUCUGAAAUUCUCUCAUUUUCUCAAAAUGACCUUCCAUUUUCCCCAGCAGAAUGCUCACUUAUAUUCCCAAGAAGGCUUUUUACUAGAUUCUCCUUAUUUCCCCUUCCUUUGUUUCUUAUUCUCUUAUCAUUGUCCUUCCCUCAUGACAUUCACUGCCUGGUGGAUUCCUCAUUCUUCUCCACACUAAGCAAACAGUCAGGCUUUCUGGGAAAAAGAGAGGCACUUCCUGCAGCUCUUUCCCCUCCUACUUCCUGAGGACUGAAUGUUCCUCAUUAUCAUACAUGACAGUAUACUCACAACCAAGGUAUGGCAGGGUCAACUAUUCAUAUAACAGAAUCUCAUUAAUUUCCAUUUCUCCAAAAGGCUUUUAGAAGGCAAACAUGCUAAACACAGAAAUGUAUCACCCAGAUGGGGAGGCUCACAGGUACAUGUGCAUGACAGCUCAGAGCCAUGUGGAGUCACCCUAAGUGACACGUGGCAGCCCCUAAUAUACGCUGACACAGACCUCUGAGCCUCUCUUUCUGCCUUCUCAUAGACUUCUCUUCAACCCCAGGGCUUCCUGGUCUUCCUCAUCCACUUCAGAGCUACUUUGAGCCCCCUCAUUGAUUUUCUCUUUGUAUACUUGAGCCAAUUUCCCUCUUCUUUUGCAAAUCCAUACUGAGAUAAAAGCACACUUGCUGGUACUCUUUAACUGAGCUCUGUCCCCCAUAAUUUAUUAAAAGGUAACUAUGCACCCCACCCCCUUGACACUGUGCUUUUCUAUGGGCCCCCUUUUUACUGUAGUCUCCAUGAUGUACACAUACUGUUUUAUAGCCUGGCUCAUGACUUAGGCAGGCUCAUGACUCCUUGAAGACAAAGACUAAUAAAUAGUGACUCCCAGAAGCUUCUAAACAGAGAUAGACAAAGAUGGCUAGUCUUUUAAAAUAAACAUUUUGUGGCUAAACCCCAUGUAAAUAUAAUGCUCCCACAGGCAUCUUGAAUUAGUCAGGAUGAUCUAGGUUAUGCUGUGGUAAAGAUUUGCUACAAAUAUGCAACAAAGAUUUUUUCCUCACUGAUUCUACUUGUCCACAGAGGUUGAUUACACUCUGCUCCAUGUCUCCACUCUAGGGCCAGGCCAACAGAGCAGCCUCUGGCUGGAACACAACAAAUCUCAUGACAAAGGAAAAAGAGAUUAUGGGGACACAUAAGCGGGCUCUGAAGUUUCCAUCAUAUUCACUCACCUUUCAUCAGCCAAAACAGAGUCACAUGACCAAGACUGAUGGGUAAUCUGUGUGAAGGUCAGCAAAUAAUUUCGUUGAUAAUAUAAUUUAUCACAUAUUGAAAACUUAAAUUAUCCUCUGAAUAAUUUAAGUUACACUCUGAGUAAUAAUAUAAUUGAUAAUAAUAUACAGGGAGGGACAAACAUUGAUUUAUAGUUGUUUGUAUGGAAAAUAGUACAAUAAUUAAUAAAUAACAAUACAAGAAUAAA